GUCGUGAGAUGUUGGGUUAAGUCCCGCAACGAGCGCAACCCCUGUCCCAUGUUGCCAGCAUUAAGUUGGGGACUCAUGGGAGACUGCCGGUGACAAACCGGAGGAAGGUGGGGAUGACGUCAAGUCAUCAUGCCCCUUAUGUUCAGGGCUACACACGUGCUACAUUGGCGCGUACAAAGGGAUGCAAUACCGUGAGGUGGAGCAAAUCCCAAAAAGCGCGUCUCGGUUCGGAUUGGAGGCUGAAACUCGCCUCCAUGAAGGCGGAGUUGCUAGUAAUCGCGGAUCAGCAAUGCCGCGGUGAAUACGUUCCCGGGCCUUGUACACACCGCCCGUCACACCACGAAAGCGGGCAACACCCGAAGCCGGUGAGCUAACCCCUUGGGGAGGCAGCCGUCGAAGGUGGGGCUCGUGAUUGGGGUGAAGUCGUAACAAGGUAGCCGUAGCGGAAGCUGCGGCUGGAUCACCUCCUUUCUAGGGAGCAAUCCCGAAAUGUCGACCGGGCGUGUCGCUGCUCAGUUUUGAGGGACCGCGGGCGGAGUUGCUCCGCUUGCCGGCCUCGGCGGAGCUUGAAAACUGCACAAAGGCCAAAAGGGUAAUUUGCACCGACCGCGCCUCCGGGCGCGGACGGAGCUCACCGUCAAGAUGCUAAGGGCACACGGUGGAUGCCUUGGCACCAGGAGCCGAAGAAGGACGUGGACGGCUGCGAUAAGCCGCGGUGAGGCGCUGAACAGCCUUUGACCCGCGGAUCU
rnacentral:sRNA from 1 species